rnacentral:rRNA from 1 species
CAGCCGCCGCGGGAAUACGGAGGGUGCAAGCGUUAAUCGGAAUUACUGGGCGUAAAGCGCACGCAGGCGGUCUGACAAGUCAGAUGUGAAAUCCCCGGGCUUAACCUGGGAACUGCAUUUGAAACUGUCAGGCUGGAGUCUUGUAGAGGGGGGUAGAAUUCCAGGUGUAGCGGUGAAAUGCGUAGAGAUCUGGAGGAAUACCGGUGGCGAAGGCGGCCCCCUGGACAAAGACUGACGCUCAGGUGCGAAAGCGUGGGGAGCAAACAGGAUUAGAUACCCCUGUAGUCCCUGUCUCUUAUAC